GACGAACGCUGGCGGCGGGCUUAACACAUGCAAGUCGAACGGAAAGGCCCUGCUUUUGUGGGGUGCUCGAGUGGCGAACGGGUGAGUAACAAGUGAGUAACCUGCCCUUGACUUUGGGAUAACUUCAGGAAACUGGGGCUAAUACCGGAUAGGAGCUCCUGCUGCAUGGUGGGGGUUGGAAAGUUUCGGCGGUUGGGGAUGGACUCGCGGCUUAUCAGCUUGUUGGUGGGGUAGUGGCUUACCAAGGCUUUGACGGGUAGCCGGCCUGAGAGGGUGACCGGCGACAUUGGGACUGAGAUACGGACCAGACUACUACGGGAGGCAGCAGUGGGGAAUAUUGCACAAUGGGCGGACGCCCGAUGCAGCAACGCCGCGUGCGGGAUGACGGCCUUCGGGUUGUAAACCGCUUUCGCCUGUGACGAAGCGUGAUUGACGGUAAUGGGUAAAGAAGCACCGGCUAACUACGUG
rnacentral:rRNA from 1 species